rnacentral:rRNA from 1 species
AUGGCUGAAGAAGACAUCCACAAGACAACAUUCUCUACACUGCAAGGGCACUUUGAGUUUCUAGUAAUGUCUUUUGGAUUAACAAAUGGACCUCCCUCAUUUCAGGCUCUUAUGAACUUUUUGUUUGGCUCUUUUGAAUUUGUAGUAGUGUUCUUUGAUGACAUUCUAGUGUUUAGCACAACCAUGGCAGAACAUAAACUACACCUGAAGAAAGUAUUUCAAGUGCUGCAAGAGAAUCAUUUAUAUGCCAAACUGAACAAAUGUUCUUUUGGACAGCCUGAGAUAGAAUAUCUGGGCCAUGUUAUCAACAAGGAAGGUGUGGCAACAGAUCCUUCUAAAAUUGCUGCUAUCAAGGAAUGGUCAACUCCUAAAACUGUCACUGAAAUCAAAAGCUUUUUGGGUCUGAGUGGUUACUACAGGCGAUUUAUUCAGGGAUAUGGCAUCAUUUGCAGGCCCCUUUUUGACUGUCUGAAGAGAGUCUCCUUUUCUUGGUAG